rnacentral:rRNA from 1 species
ACCUUUAGUUGCCAUCAAGGUUAAGCGUGGGGACUACUAAAGGAACUGCCUACGCAAGUAGUGAGGAAGGCGGGGAUGACGUCAAAUCAGCACGGCCCUUACGUCCAGGGCUACACACGUGCUACAAUGGCCGAUACAGAGGGCAGCUACCUGGUGACAGGAUGCAAAUCUCCAAAGUCGGUCUCAGUUCGGAUCGGAGUCUGCAACCCGACUCCGUGAAGUUGGAUUCGCUAGUAAUCGCGCAUCAGCCAUGGCGCGGUGAAUACGUUCCGGGCCUU